rnacentral:rRNA from 1 species
CAGCCGCCGCGGUAAAACGGAGGAUCCAAGCGUUAUCCGGAUUUAUUGGGUUUAAAGGGUGCGUAGGUGGCCUGUUAAGUCAGGGGUGAAAGACGGUAGCUCAACUAUCGCAGUGCCCUUGAUACUGAUGGGCUUGAAUGAACUAGAGGUAGGCGGAAUGUGACAAGUAGCGGUGAAAUGCAUAGAUAUGUCACAGAACACCAAUUGCGAAGGCAGCUUACUAUGGUUUUAUUGACACUGAGGCACGAAAGCGUGGGGAUCAAACAGGAUUAGAUACCCCUGUAGUCCCUGUCUCUUAUAC